UACGUAGGUGGCAAGCGUUGUCCGGAUUUAUUGGGUUUAAAGGGCGCGUAGGCGGCGCGAUAAGUCAAAGGUGAAAUCCCUCGGCUCAACUGAGGAACUGCCUUUGAAACUGUCGUGCUUGAGGCCGGGAGGGGGUAGCGGAAUUCCCAGUGUAGCGGUGAAAUGCGUAGAUAUUGGGAGGAACACCAGUGGCGAAGGCGGCUACCUGGACCGGUUCUGACGCUGAUGCGCGAAAGCGUGGGUAGCAAACAGG
rnacentral:rRNA from 1 species